UACGAAGGGGGCUAGCGUUGUUCGGAUUUACUGGGCGUAAAGCGCACGUAGGCGGAUCGUUAAGUCGGGGGUGAAAUCCUGGAGCUCAACUCCAGAACUGCCUUCGAUACUGGCGAUCUUGAGUCCGGAAGAGGUGAGUGGAACUCCUAGUGUAGAGGUGGAAUUCGUAGAUAUUAGGAAGAACACCAGUGGCGAAGGCGGCUCACUGGUCCGGUACUGACGCUGAGGUGGCGAAA
rnacentral:rRNA from 1 species